AAUGAACGCUGGCGGCGUGCGUAACACAUGCAAGUCGAACGUGAAAGUCCCCUUCGGGGGGAUGAGUAAAGUGGCAAACGGGUGAGUAACACGUGGGUAACCUGCCCUCUGGUGGGGGAUAACCCUGCGAAAGCGGGGGCUAAUACCGCAUAACAAGUCGCUAAAUAAUUAGUCGACUUCAAAGCCUUCGGGCGCUAGAGGAGGGGCCCGCGUCCCAUUAGCUAGUUGGUAGGGUAACGGCCUACCAAGGCUGCGAUGGGUAGCCGGCCUGAGAGGGUGUCCGGCCACACUGGAACUGAGACACGGUCCAGACUCCUACGGGAGGCAGCAGUGGGGAAUUUUGCGCAAUGGGCGAAAGCCUGACGCAGCGACGCCGCGUGGGUGAUGAAGUUCUUCGGAACGUAAAGCCCUGUCAGGAGGGACGAAGCUCUGACGGUACCUCCAAAGGAAGCCCCGGCUAACUCCGUG
rnacentral:rRNA from 1 species